rnacentral:misc_RNA from 1 species
AAAGUCGUAACAAGGUUUCCGUAGGUGAACCUGCGGAAGGAUCAUUAACACGUAUCCACGUUUAUCACCCGUGAACUUUCUUAGGAUAGCUGCUUUCAAGUAAUUGGAGGGAGCUUCCUAAGUAACACUAACUCUUUCUUUUCAGUUUCACUUCGGUGACUCAGGAAAGACUAGAGAGAGUACUAAACUUGAGGGACAUCUCUUUCGGGAGGAGUCUCUGAAGUUAUGUAAACCCCUUUUUUUUCAACUAAAAGCCGUCUCUUUGUGGACCGCUUUUAACCGAAUGCUGUACAACUCUUAGCAACGGAUAUCUUGGUUCUG